UCUUCUCUUGUCCGUUUAUCAAAAACAUGUCUAUUUGUAGAUAUAAAAAGUCUGGCCUGCCCACUGAUUUAACGUUUUAAGGGCCGCGGUAUUAUGACCGUGCAAAGGUAGCAUAAUCAUUAGAUUUUUAAAUGGAAUCUCGUAUGAAUGGUUGAACAAAAGAAAAACUAUCUUUAUAUUAAAAUUUGAAUUUAACUUUUAAGUGAAAAGGCUUAAAUAUUUUAGAGGGACGAUAAGACCCUAUAAAGCUUUACAUGUAAAUUAUAUUUAGUUGAAUUUGUAAUAUAAGAGUUUUAUGUAGUUAGUAUGUUGUGUUGGGGAGAUAAAAGUAUAAUUUAUAAUAACUGCUUAAUAAAUAAACAAUUAUAAGUGUAAUUUAUAAUAAUAGAUCCUAUAUUUAGAUUAAAAGAACAAGUUACUUUAGGGAAGGGGGGGGAGAGAAGU
rnacentral:rRNA from 1 species